rnacentral:rRNA from 1 species
CCUACGGGGUGCAGCAGUGGGGAAUAUUGCACAAUGGGCGCAAGCCUGAUGCAGCCAUGCCGCGUGUAUGAAGAAGGCCUUCGGGUUGUAAAGUACCUUCAGCGGGGAGGAAGGCGAUAAGGUUACUAACCUUGUCGAUUGACGUUACCCGCAGAAGAAGCACCGGCUAACUCCGUGCCAGCCGCCGCGGUAAUACGGAGGGUGCAAGCGUUGAUCGGAAUUACUGGGCGUAAAGCGCACGCAGGCGGUCUGUCAAGUCGGAUGUGAAAUCCCCGGGCUCAACCUGGGAACUGCAUUCGAAACUGGCAGGCUGGAGUCUUGUAGAUGGGGGUAGAAUUCCAGGUGUAGCGGUGAAAUGCGUAGAGAUCUGGAGGAAUACCGGUGGCGAAGGCGGCCCCCUGGACAAAGACUGACGCUCAGGUGCGAAAGCGUGGGGAGCAAACAGGAUUAGAUACCCCGGUAGUC